rnacentral:lncRNA from 1 species
GCCAUUUCUUCCCCUAUCCCAAUACAAUUCAAAAGUCCUUCUUAAGCACACAUAUAGUUUAUUUUGAUCUCCUUGACCACUGACAUUAGCCAAUCUUUGCAUAUUUGUUAAUUUUACCCAGAAGGACUGUUUCUAGCAACACCAAGAGCACUGGGACCCUAUCAAGCAAAAGCAUCACAUCUGUCUUCACACAACCCCUGCUCUGCUCUGACCUGGGAUGGACGACGCAGGACACCGGAACCACUACACUCGCAUUUCCAGACCCCACCUCAGGGCUUCUAGUCAAGAACCACACCCUUCCACAGGAGAAGCAGACGUAAAAUAUGAGGGAAAUAGGUGUGCACUGUCUCCCAGAAGAGCUCCGAAGGCAGAGGAAGGGACAAGAGGCAUCGCAGCCACGAAACACCAGCAGCCUUUGGGUCGUUACCUAAGCCUCAGGCACAGGAGUCCUGAGGGCCUGCAGGAGAACUGGGACAAGAAAAAUCACAUUCCAUCAUAAAGCCUCAACCUGCUGGUUCUUCUCAACCCGUGAGUGAGUGUUGGGCAGUUAUCUGAGGACAUAUUUUUGUGUCUCACCUGGGGGUGGGACACACAUGUAGGGGUACACUGGUGCCUAGCAGGUGGAUGGCAGGGAUGCUGCUUCUCAAGCACAAGAGGAUGCUCUGGUCCCAAAAGUCCACCUUCCCCUGCCCGAGGCUGAGGAACCUGGGCUGGAGCUUUGCCAGCACUGGGGGCUGAGGUUCACGGCUCCUGGAUCCCUCUCCACCCGCUGCUCCCGACGGGCACUGCGGCUCCUCCCAGGCAAGUCCUGUCCCUGUUUGCAACUGUCUGUCUUUGUUCAGACCACUGUGCCUUCUGCCUCUGUUCACGUGGUCCCUUUGCCUGGAACUUUCUCCUAUGUAGCCAUUAGAACCCUCUUUUUCCUCCAAAGCAUCUCCCUGCCUCUGAAUCCAUUUUCAGUUGCCCCGGACGUG